GUUUACACCAACUGAAGAAGGAAACCUUCAGGGAAUCAGCAUAGGGAGGCAUCUGGUCAAGUUUUACAGAUCAGGAAAGUGGAGGUGAAAAGGCUCAGUGACUUGGGGCACAGUUCACAGUAGCAGCUUGAGGACUUGGACGUAGGCAUGCAAACCGUGAACCAAAGCCCCUGUUCUUGACCAGCCUCUUGAAUUCGUACCUGACCAUGAAGUUCAUUUCUAGUUCCUCUAAACACAAACAACAAACAAACAAACAAACUUCAGUCAUGAUACAUUGUUUAUUCUAAAUCAUUCCUUGAGGACAGGGAUACCAAUACCCUGGAUCAAAAGGAAGGCAGCCUGUAGAAAAGCAACAGACCCAGUCUCCACCCUCCCAAGGCAGCUACCAAGUUACCUGAAACUGCAUGUUCUGCUUCCACAGUGAGAUGAGUAGAUGAAUUAACUAGUUCUUUAAAGGACUGGAGGGGAUCAAGAUCAUGAAUGCAAGAAAGACUCCGAUCUUGGCAUUGUUCACAUAAACAUGGAUGACUGGAUCCAAAGAUGACCCUGCAGUGUCGUACAAUUCAGAGACCAGAGCAAAAAGCAUCAAAACCAGGCCCAGAGGCACCUGAUGCUGUCACCAGUGCUGUUCAGGAUAACUUACGAUGGCAUCAACCGAGCAGACUAGGGGAAAGUUCAACAAGGAAGAGGGAGGAGAUGCAGGGACACAGAAAGAAAAUGUUCAGGACCGUUGCCCUUGACGGAAGAUAAUACAGGCAUGGUGGCAGAGUCGGGUUGGCCUGUUCUUCUGAAGUUGCAAGUAUGUCUUCAAAUUUAAGGAGCCAACACUAGGAAAACCACAGGGAACUGACUCCACUCCACCUCACACCAAUUUUCUUUUAUUGUUGUUUGCUCAUUUUUAAAAUGAAAGAAUAAAAGAAUCUGUGUUUGUAAUCACAGCUUUCAAAAUAACAUUCCGUACUAAUUCCCCAGCAUUUUGAUUUCCUACCCACACUUCAACCACCACAGUGGCUCUUCUACACUUGUUCUUUCACUGGAGCGAAGAACACCUGGUCUGCCAGUCUUCCCCUGAAUGCCAAGUCCAACAGCUAGACACUUGGCCAUCUUUGCAGGUCAUUCAUUGGCUCCUGUUUCCUACAUCAUAAACAAUAUUCAGCAUGCCAGUAAAGAUUCCUCUAGGCUCCUUGUCUAUAAUUCAUACACAUAUGCCUCUAUUCUGUG